AUACGGAGGGUGCAAGCGUUAAUCGGAAUCACUGGGCGUAAAGCGCGAACGUAGGCCGCCUUCUAAGUCGGACGUGAAAGCCCUCGGCUCAACCGAGGAACUGCGUUCGAAACUGGGAGGCUUGAGUCCUGGAGAGGGUGGCGGAAUUCCGGGUGUAGGAGUGAAAUCCGUAGAUAUCCGGAGGAACACCGGUGGCGAAGGCGGUCACCUGGACAGGUACUGACGCUGAGGCGCGAAAGCGUGGGGAGC
rnacentral:rRNA from 1 species